GACCAACCUCGCCCCAUGCUCCAGAAUAGCUCUUGGAAACGGGUGGUAAUGCUGGAUGCUCCAACUUGACGCAUGUCUUGUUGGGAAGUGUUUAGUGGCAUGGGAUGGGGUCGCGUCCUAUCAGCUUGUAGGCGGGGUAAUGGCCCACCUAGGCUUCGACGGGUAGCCGGCCUGAGAGGGCGGACGGCCACAUUGGGACUGAGAUACGGCCCAGACUCCUACGGGGGCAGCAGCA
rnacentral:rRNA from 1 species